AGAGUCCUGAAGUGUUCGUGGAUAACCGAAUGUUUUGACCGAACAUCGAAAGAUAGGGAGCUUGUCGUUUUCAUCCGGAGUGAAUGCCUCAUAACGUACCGAGGACUCAUGAAAGGUGAAGCAGGGCACCCACCUGCCAGAGCGCGGGUUUCAAAACUAAGGUUUAGACGGCACUAUUGGGGCUCUC
rnacentral:other from 1 species